AUAUCAGUAAGCGGAGGAAAAGAAACUAACAAGGAUUCCCAUAGUAGCAGCGAGCGAACAGGGAAGAGCCCAAAUUGGAAUCAUUCAAUGAUGGUUGAAUGAAUUGUAGUUGCAAGAGUAAAGGGAGGGAAGGGCAGGUGUGCCAAAGUGUCCUGGAAAGGAGCACCAUGGAGGGUGACAGUCCCGUCGGGGCACAUCGUGUUCGACUCUACUACUUUUUACUCGACGAGUCGGAUUGUUUGGUAUAACAAUCUUAACGGGGUGGUACACAACAUCCAAGGCUAAAUAUGGGCAGGAGACCGAUAGCGCACAAGUA
rnacentral:rRNA from 1 species